rnacentral:rRNA from 1 species
AUGGCCGUUGCAGGAGACACUGGGACGUCCAAAGGCAAAGAUGUAGAUGAUGUUGUCUAUGGAGACUUUGCUCACUGGGCCUCCACUGAUGAAGGUAAUCCGGAAAGAGCAUCUCUUGCUACUAAUGAGAGUGCUCCAGAGUGGGUUCUUGACUUUGGAGCAUCUAAGCAUGUUGCUAGUAACUCCUGUGUGUUCGAAUCUUACACUAAGCAUCCUCCCUCUCACACGGGCACUAUACAAACGGCUGAUGGCACAAAACAACCAGUCAUAGGGGUUGGUACAGUAAAGUGUACUCCGACCAUUUCCCUAUCGUCUGUUUUACAUGUGCCAGCCUUUCCUGUCAAUUUGGUCUCUUUCAGUGCACUCAUUGAUCAAAUGGACUGUCGUGUGAUCCUUGACAAGUUCGGUUGCUUGAUUCAGGUGCGACAGACGAGCCAGACGGUUGGGACUGGCACCAGGCGUAGGGGGCUCUGGUAG